CGCACUCAAUAAUGAAAUACUUGUACAAUUGACAUGUAUAAGAUCUCAUAUUGUCGGACAGGAGUGACGCAUAUUGUGACAUUAAAUAAUCUUUGUGCCACCUGCUCUUUGGGCAGGGAGAGGAAAAUUUCUAAAGAGUUGUCCUGUGAUCACGAAACACAUUUAAACACCUGAAGAUUUGUUUUUUUAAUACUGACCACUGCAGUCCAGAAU